UACGUAGGGUGCAAGCGUUACUCGGAAUUACUGGGCGUAAAGCGUGCGCAGGCGGCUAUGCAAGACAGAUGUGAAAUCCACGGGCUCAACCUGGGAACUGCAUUUGUGACUGCAUGGCUAGAGUGCGGCAGAGGGGGAUGGAAUUCCGCGUGUAGCAGUGAAAUGCGUAGAUAUGCGGAGGAACACCGAUGGCGAAGGCAAUCCCCUGGGCCUGCACUGACGCUCAUGCACGAAAGCGUGGGGAGCAAACAGG
rnacentral:rRNA from 1 species